AACGCAUCUUGCGCUCCUUGGCAUUCCGAGGAGCAUGCCUGUUUGAGAAUCGAUACACCCUCUUUGCAGCUGUUUUCUUCUUUCUCUUUGGAAGGGAAAAGUGGCCGCAUGGAUAUGAGUCUUCUCUGCUACUAGCUAGCAGAGUGACUUGAAAUGCAAGGAUGGACUGGCAUCAGUCGAUGCAUGCACAGUGCCUGCAACACGCACCGUGUCAUUUGGAAGGAUGGGAUUCAUCUGAGCGUGAUACGACUUGUGCUUUGCUUGUCUCUGUCAUCAUCAGCAACUGCGGCAUUACACAGUUUCCACUCCAACACCAACAACAAGAGCCUGACUCUUGUCACUUGGUCUCAAAUCAGGUAGGAAGACCCGCUGAACUUAA
rnacentral:misc_RNA from 1 species